rnacentral:rRNA from 1 species
AGAGUUUGAUCCUGGCUCAGAACGAGCGCUGGCGGCGUGCUUAACACAUGCAAGUCGAGUGCGCGGUUGUAGCAAUACAACUGGCGCACGGCGCACGGGUGCGUAACACGUGGGUAAUCUGCCCUCUGACGGGGAAUAACCCGCCGAAAGGCGGGCUAAUUCCGCAUAAUAUUCCGAGAACUUCGGUUUUUGGACUGAAAGGCGUAAGUCGUCGGAGGAGGAGCCCGCGCCCGAUUAGCUAGUUGGUAGGGUAAUGGCCUACCAAGGCUUUGAUCGGUAGCUGGUCUGAGAGGAUGGCCAACCACACUGGAACUGAGACACGGUCCAGACUCCUACGGGAGGCAGCAGUGGGGAAUCUUGCACAAUGGGCGAAAGCCUGAUGCAGCGACGCCGCGUGGGGGAUGAAGCUUCCCGGAGUGUAAACCCCUUUCGAUCCGGACGAAUACCUCGCAAGAGGGGUGGCGGUACGGAUUUAGAAGCCCAA